rnacentral:lncRNA from 1 species
AGAGGCACUCUUGUGGGCCUAGAAUGUGGCUCCAACACAGGCACCUAUGCUUCAGAGACCAGGAAGGAAGAGAGCUACGAUGCAGCCAAGGAAACAGUAACACGAGGAGCAGAUCGUUUAGCAGGAACAAAAUGCGUCUGCAACCCCUGGCUCAUAUUUAGCUCAGCUGCCAUCCAUCACUCACAGACGAAAGCUCGAAAAGCAUCAAGUCCACACCGAAAGGAGGAAAAUGUGAGUGGCAUCCCCGGUGGCAAGGGUUGGACGUGGGAGGCAGAGAGGAGCUAUAUAUUAUACCUGAACUCGCUGCCAGUUUCAGAAACGGCUUGGAAGGAAGAUGAGAAGAAGGCAAAGGACCAGAGCUACUGACAUGCGCACAGCCAUCAAGGAAAUGCUAAGGUGACUGGCAAGAAGAGAAGGCCCCGCACUCACGGAGCAGCAACCAGCAGUGUGGGACAAGAUCUGAUUAAGGGGGAACAGUGUCCCAGGCCUCCGAUGCUCUGCCCUCCAGAAGAGGUGAGGCCAGGAAGGCAGGAGUCAUCUAGAAGCCUCCAAACAGGGGCUUAUGCUGAGCAUGUAGGACCGGUAGUGCUUUGUUUGACUUUUCAUUGUAGAUGACAAGAAUAAUCUAGGGCAAAAAUAUAAUCUACCAUGGGGGGGUGGGAAAAUCGCUAUUUUUUAGAGGUUUGGGGAGUCAAUUUCUUUCACUGAUAAACCCUCAGGUAAGGUAUGGUAGCUCUAUGGGCAUAUGAACAGAUGAACCCUAUUGGAUGAAUAUUUACAGUGAAAGCAACAGAAAGGGCGAGAAUAAUGAGCUACAGUCACUCAUUGUGGAGGGAGUGAGCAUAGCAAUACCGCAUAAGGAUAUGCUAAGAAUGAGUCUCGGUAGAAACAAGAAGUUUACAAGAAUGGAUGUAUUUUUGUUGGUCACAUGAAAAGCACAGGAUGGAAAUUCAGGCAUGUGGAGAUUAUAUAUCUAUUUCUGAGAAAGGGAAUUUCAGGAUGUCUCGUGCAUAAGAGGGGCCCGGGGAUGUGGUAACAGCAGAACGGAACACACGCUGUGCUAUUCACAAACUUGUGCAUCUGCA